AUCCAAAUGACGAGUUCAAAAUAUAACGAAACGCGCUUCCUGGAU
rnacentral:hammerhead_ribozyme from 1 species